rnacentral:rRNA from 1 species
UACGAAGGGGGCUAGCGUUGUUCGGAAUACUGGGCGUAAAAGCGCACGCAGGCGGAUUGAUAAGUCAGGGGUGAAAUCCCGGGGCUCAACCUCGGAAUUGCCUUUGAUACUGUCUAUCUUCGAGUUCGGGAGAGGUUGGCGGAAUUCCUAGUGUAGAGGUGAAAAUUCGUAGAUAUUAGGAAAGAACACCAGUGGCGAAGGCGGCCAACUGGC